CAGAGAUCCUGAGUUCAAUUCCCAGCAACCACAUGGUGGCUCACAACCAUCUGUAAUGAGAUCGGAUGCCCUCUUCUGGUGUGUCUGAAGACAGCUACAGUGUACUUAGAGAGAAAGAAGAAGAAGAAGAAGAAGCAGAUUCACACACUGAAGUCUUGGUUACCUCAGAACACGACCUUCUUUGGAACUUAGUUCUUUGAAGAUGUCACUCAUUAGCACGAGGCCACAAGGUCAUUCUGAAUUAAGGUGUUCUCUACCUGCUGUGGACUGGUGUCAUUAAAACAGAGGCAAGCAUGAGGAGUGGAGCUCAAUCCCCAGCACCAUUGGGAAAAAGCUACUGGCAUAGGGAGGCACGUGCUUCCAAUCCCCCCCCCGCCCCCCCCCCCCCCCCCCCGCAGUGAAGAGGCAGAGAGACAAAGAAGCCUGGGACCUGCUGGCCAGACAGCCUGGCAGAAUAGGUGAGCCGCAUAUUCAGUGAGAGGCCCUAUCUCAAAAAGCAAGGGGGGGGGGUGGUGGAGAAAUGGCUCAGGGAUUAAGAGUUCUGACCACUCUUCCAGAGGACCCAGGUUCAAUUCCCAAUACCCACUUGACAGCUAACAACCAUCUAUAACAGCAGUUCUAAGGGAUCCAACACCCUCUGACCUUUGUAGGCACUGCAAACACUGUGCACAGACAUAUGCAGGCGAAAUACCCAAAAACAUAAAGUGUAAAUUACUUCAUUUUUUAAAAAGGUGGAUGGAUCCUGUGGAAUGACAAUUAAAGAUUUAUUUAUUUUAUGUAUAUGAGUAUGAGUACACUGUAGUUGUCUUCAGACACACACCAGAAGAUGGCUUCGGAUCCCAUUACAGAUGGUGGUGACCCACCAUGUGGUUGCUGGGAAUUGAACUCAGGACCUCUGGAAGAACAGUCCGUGCUCUUUACCACUGAACCAUCUCUCCAACCUGAGGAACGACACUUAAAGUUGACCUCUGAUCUCCACACAUGUAUGCCCACACACGCACACCCACAUGCACUAAAAUUAAUUAAUAAAAUAAAUAAAUAUAAAAUAGAGCUGGGUAAAUGUCUUAGCAGGUAAGAGAGUUUGUAUCUAAAAUGAGGACUCAAGAUCAAAUCCCCAGUAUACAUAAAAAGCUGAACACAGCUACACAUGCCUUCAUCUUGGGUGCCAACCCACAUGACUGCACAUGCGCCUCACAACCUCUGCACCUGUCACAGCAUUCCUGGUCCUGUUAAGUCACCUGACCACCAUGGUCAUCCCUCCUGCCCCUUCAUAGAUUUCCUGUGCAUUUACCCCCUCCCAACUUGGCUUCAUCCUCAACUAUCAAAGCCUUAACCCCAAAGCCAGUUGACAGAGGAGCCAAGUUCACAG
rnacentral:lncRNA from 1 species